UACGGAGGGUGCGAGCGUUGUCCGGAAUCAUUGGGCGUAAAGGGCGCGUAGGUGGCGGGACAAGCGUGCGGUGAAAGCCUGGGCUCAACCCCGGGUCGGCCGUGCGAACUGUUUGCUUGAGCACUGUAGAGGCAGGCGGAAUUCCGGGUGUAGCGGUGAAAUGCGCAGAUAUCAGGAAGAACACCCGUGGCUAAGGCGGUUCUCUAGUACGGUACUGACGCUGAGACGCGAAGCGUGGGGGAGCGGACAGG
rnacentral:rRNA from 1 species